rnacentral:rRNA from 2 species
UUUAUUGAGAGUUUGAUCCUGGCUCAGGACGAACGCUGGCGGCGUGCCUAACACAUGCAAGUCGAGCGAUGAAGU